rnacentral:rRNA from 1 species
GACGAACGCUGGCGGCGUGCUUAACACAUGCAAGUCGAACGGAAAGGCCCUGCUUUUGUGCGGUGCUCGAGUGGCGAACGGGUGAGUAACACGUGAGUAACCUGCCCUUGACUUUGGGAUAACUUCAGGAAACGGGGGCUAAUACCGGAUAGGAUCUCCUGCUGCAUGGUGGGCGUUGGAAAGUUUCGGCGGUUGGGGAUGGACUCGCGGCUUAUCAGCUUGUUGGUGGGGUAGUGGCUUACCAAGGCUUUGACGGGUAGCCGGCCUGAGAGGGUGACCGGGCACCAUGGGACUGAGGUACGGAGCAGAGUCGUACGGGAGGCAGAAGUGGGGAAUCUUGUACAAUGAGAGGAAGCGUGAUGCAGAGACGCCGCGUGCGGGAUGACGGUCUUCGGGUUGUAAACAGCUUUAGCCUGUGACGAAGCGUGAGUGACGGUAAUGGGUAAAGAAGCACCGGCUAACUACGUG